rnacentral:lncRNA from 1 species
AGCUGCUCUCCAGUCCUGGGGUGCAGCACCCCUGGCUGCUGCCAAGGCCAUGAACAAACUGCUCUCAGGAGGUCAAGUGGAACGUCGUCACUUUGCUACAGAUUUAUUUCCGUGUGAAUUAAUGAAACGGUACACACAAUUCCAAAAAAAAAAAAAUAAUCUUUUAUAGGCCCAUAAUCCUUCUUUCACAGUACAAUGCAACAGUAGAGGAUUUAGUCAGUGUAAACAGAAGGUCCAAUAGUGAUCAUCAGCUAUCACAGAUCAGCUGCACAAACACCAUAGCUACGGGGUUAAUGCCAUUACCACACAAAUUGACAGUACCAGUACAAAUCAUAACUUUACCUACAAUGCUUUUUCAUGUGCAAAAACCAUGAAAAUUCAAUUUACAGAAGAAGGGCACCUUCUCUAAACCUUCGUGGGUCUGUAAAGUGCCUCCUCAGGGCUGUCUUAUCCAUUUGGCAAAGGUCUCAGCCCAGAUUCUCCAAGGUACUCAACUCCAUCUGCAGCACAAAGCAUCAGGGCUCUGCCUCUGCACACCAGGCAUUCCUGGGUGCUCUGCUGCAGCCCAGCACAGAAAAUUAUCAGCUGAGGAUGAAUCCCAUUCAUUUAUUCACUCCUGAAUUUAAGCCGAGAUUCAUUCAUUGACUAAAGCUAUUCAAAACAGUCCUGGUUAUAUUAUAUCUGGAUCAUAAUGUCAGAUAUAUGGAUCAUCAUUGGUGUCUUGGGGUGACUUUAUGAUGCUUGUAUCCCAAACUGUCUGUUCUAUUAACGUUGAAUAUUGAGUUCUGCAGCUUUAAGACUGGUUCCAAGAGUGAAGGGGAGAAAAGAGGUGCAGAGUUUGUUAUCAGAGACUGCACUUGCUCCUCCUCAUCCUUCACACAGACUGUUGUCUGCAGUGGAAGCAGGAGACAGCUCUCCUCUGCUCUUGGUUAGUUUCUGGCUAGCUGAGGCAGAGAAACUCCCUGGACUGUGGUUUUUUUUUCCCUUUUUCUUGGAACUGUUUGAACCUGCUCUGGACUGAAAAACCCAGAGGAGCACCAGGAGCUCACACCUGUGGCCCACCCGGGCUGUGACAUUUCCCAGCACUGGAGGGACUGAGAACAGCCUGAAGCAGGAGACAGCUCUCCUCUGCUCUUGGUUAGUUUCUGGCUAGCUGAGGCAGAGAAGCUG